GCAUUCUUUCCUCUCUGGAUGACGUUGAUGGGGCAGCCAAAAAGCUUUUCUGGUGAUCAUUCCUUGGACGCUGAGCGUCUCGCCACGAAGGAGAGACGAUCAAGAAAAUUCGCGUGUGUGGGUCAAGUUGAGAUUCUCCUCGCAAAGAUUUUAUUUAAAACGGAAAUUCAGUUGCUUUUGGGAAAUUCACGGUGUCACAGCGAGAGAAUUUCUCCUACUCGAGACUUUUCUUAUCCCUCCGUGGAAUCACUCGAAAUUCCGUUCUAACUGUGGUGUCCAAUUGAGGAUUAAAUCUCUGUCCAAAAAGCGCUCAUUUCGUCAACAAAACCUUGUACAAAAAUGACCACACAUUAUCCCUUGAGAUUUGGCCAGCAGCGAUUCAGUAGACACGGCGAUGAAAACUUGGAGGCUCCAAUUCAAUAUCAAGUAAGAACUUUUGUAAAAAAAAAAACUCUCAAUUCGAAAGCUCAUCAUUUACUCUCCAAAAAACAUACAUAUUAAUUAAAUAAAAAUAAAAAUACAAUAUUGCCACAAUUUAAAUAAGUGUUAGAAAGCACACAAGAAAUCACAUUGAAAUACUUCAUUUUUUUGGGACUUGAAAUUUUCUUCAGUAAAUUCAGUGAAUUAAAGCUAUCGAGGGGUUAUUUUUGUGGAAUUUUCAGCCGAAUUCGAGGAUGAUUUUGAGCAAAUGUUCUAAGAGAGAAAAGCAGAUUUAAAACAUUUACGUAUAAUGGUUUGAAUGAUUUUGGUGAUUGAUUUAAAUUGCACACUAAUCUGCAGAUAGACUUUAGGUUUAGACCUCAAACCCCUCAAACCCUCUUUGCUGUGAUAACUGUUCCCAAAUCGCCAGGGGACAGUCACAAAUGCUUACAAAAAUACUUUUAAAUAGAUUUUAUGAUACUCUUUUAGCCCUCUUAGCAAUAUUGACAAUGUUUGUUCUGAAAGGCAGUGCUUGGGAUUAUAUUUGGGAACAGUUUUCAGAACUCUCCAUUAUAAUACUUUAGACACAGUUAACACUCCAAACGCAGAAUAGACCCAUUAAAAAUGAAAUGUAACAGAAAUUUAUUCAGAGAUGAUUGAUUUGAAUGUUUGAGAACAGUUUUAAUUAGGAUUUUUCACGGUCGUGAAUCAGGGGCUAUUCCAAUGGAAAAUUAAAAGGGGAAAUCUUUCUCCUUAACAUUUUUUUUUAAACACUACUGUUCUCAAGGUAUUCUGCAUCAUCGACGCAAAGAUAAGUAAAUUAUGUAGGACAAUUGAGAACAGUAGUGCUAAAACAAUGUUUGUUUUUCAUUGAAAUAGCAUCGCAAAGCUUGGCUAGAAACUAAAAUUUCGUACAAUUCUCACUGAUAAUUGAAAAUUCCUUACAGAAGCUGUUUCUAAUGUACAAAAUCACCAACAGUUCUCACUAUCUACUUACCUUUGGAUACUGUCACUGUCAAAUCCACAAUUUUAAUUACUACAUAAAACUUUUCCUUAAUUUUUAAAUUGGAAACAUUUGGAAACAGUCAAAAUCAUUAAAACUACCUGUAAAAACUGUUCCUAACCCCUUUAAAAUAACUAGAAACCUUAGGAACACUUAAAAAAUUAAAAGUUACACUUGGUAAGUUAAAUUUUAAAGCAAAGUAAACAGUUCUUACUAUUUAUUAAUUUUGUAAAGGAUUGAAAAUUGUAAUCAGAUAAUGAAACCGUUUCUUUGCUCAUCAAAUUUAUUGCUGGCACAUUACGACAUGUCAUUUCCUACGACUGCAGAUAGAAAGAAAAUGGAGUUUAGAACAGUUUCAAUUUGGAAAGACAAAAUGUUAAAAGCCCAGCAGCAACUGUUCCCUAUAAUCCUUUAAAUAAUUUGGGUAAAUUAGUUAUAUAGAGAAUAUUGACUUGUGGGGGGUCACCGAAGACCGGAAGUCAAUAUCUUUUACCGUUUGGCUGCUAAGAUGGAGAGAAGUUGAAAAAAACACGAUUGUUAAAACUUCUCUCUCUUGGAGUUCGAGCAGUUAAAAAUGAAAUUUUAACUACAAUUUGAUUAAUCCAAGAAACUGUUUUACGUAUUGCGAACUGACAUUAACAGAAAUAAGAGUCAAUGGGAAAACUGUUCCUAAAGGAUUUAGGAUUAAAAUAAAGUAAUCAUCUAGAGUUACAAUCAUUUGCUAUAUAAAUUAUAUAAUGAUGCAGAUUUUCAUCGCUUUAUAAAUUUGAAAAUUAUGAUUAUCGCACUUGGAAACAGUUCAAGAAUAAAUAUUUAAAACAAACUGUUCCCAAAGUUAUUAAGAGUUGUAAUUUGUCUUGAAUUGGUGAUACAUUUUUUCUUCUUUAUAAACUUUAAUGUAUCUGAAGUUUUAAAAUGAAAAUAGAAAAAUAGGAACAGAAACUCCAGAAACUGUUCCUAAUAUUUUAGUAAUCACAAAUAAUCUGGAAAUAAAUACACACAAACCGUUUCAAAUUGGAGCUCUACAGUAACGGUACCUCAUCCUUUUGAAACGUAAAAUUUCUUUACAUUGAGAACUGUGUAAAUUUAAAUUGAAAUGUUGUUUCUUAGCAGCAACUGUUCUCAAACAUUUUAGAAGUAAAACCACCCUCACAAAUUACAUAGAAAAAUCGACAAUUAAAAAAUGGAAAUUAUGGCUGAAUGAAUAUGCUUUUAACUUGAGUAACUAAUAUUUCUCAAAGAUUAGGAACAGUUUAGAAAUCAAAUCUCUCUAUAAACUGUUCCUAAUGAUUUUAAAUAUUACAAGUCCUCUGAAAAUAAGGAAAGAAGCAAGGAUAGUUUGAAAAACGUCAAUGAAAAUAUGUAGGCCCGCUUUAGGUUAAUUUAAGAACAGUUCAGAUUGGGUACAGUCUGAACAGUUCAAUCUCCAAAGAUAAAUCCAGUGAGACAUUAUAGAUUCCUUCAAUAUUUAGUUCACUUUAAAGAAGCCGCACAUUAUUCCUUUAAAGAACUGUUCCCAAAGCUUUUAAGGUUUUUUUUAAACCUUAAACCUUAAGGAUUUUGCGUUGUCUGUGAUGGCAGGCAUUUUAGGGCGGAUAUGUAAGGCGAAGCUAUUAAUGAGCAUGACUUAAGUACUACGUCCUUUGGUACGGGACCCCUUUAAAAUUCAUCUUUGGUCAUUUUGGACUGAAAAUUUCACCAAUAACUACCCUCAAAUUUUGCAAAGACGUGGAAAAAUGUCAGCUUAAGAGUAUUAGAUGUUACCAUUGAGCCCAGUUGGUGGAUUUUUCUCCCUCUUCCCGGCCGAUUUGUGAUGAUUCGGAGGAUAUUGAGGAGUCUUCUUCAUGGCCUCCAUGGCAUCCUGUUUGCACCUCAGAACAACAUCUUCGAGAGUUUCAGCUGCCUCAUACUUUCCCUGGCGCCUGUAUAGGGCAGCUAGGUUCUUUAGGGUGGUGGUAACAGUUGGUGAAUUAACCUUAGCUGCCCUCAUCCAAGCUCCGUGCUCUGCAAAAGGUGUAUUCUCACGAUUUCUCUCCUUAUUCUCCUCUCGCUCCUCAGCAAUCUGCCAGAUAACUUUGUUAUCCCCAUCGAUCGGUCCGAACUCCUUCUCGUGGGCCCUAGUCAAAACUUGCUUGUAUAGCGUAUCAGCUUCAUGAUAUUUUCCCUGCUUGAGGAAACAGCUGGCCAAGUUAUUCUUCGUCUUGGCCACAUUGGCAUCAUCUGGCCCCAAUUUCGCUUCAUAGAUUUUCAAUGCUCGCUGAUAGUAAAUCUCAACUUCGUCGUAUUUUCCCUGCCCAACCAAGCAACAUUAAAAUGUUAGAAAAAAAACCACCUAUAUGAAUCACUAUGUUAUUUAACAAUACAGAGAAAGAAAUCCCAUCAUUUCAUUGAUUUUUGAAUAAUUAAAUGAAUUUAGUACAAAAUUUAGUACACCUAAUUAUCAUUGCAGUAUUUCUAGAAGUGAGAAGAAAUCGGCAUAAUUCUUUAGGAAAUACUUUUAAAAAUCUUACGAUUGACAAAUGUGUUACCUUUGUAAUAAUUAAUCAGGUUUAGUACUUAUUUAGUACACAUAUUAUUUAUUAUUAUAGGCAUUUUAUGGGAAUGAAAUCGACACAAUACUUCAGGAAAUUCAUUGAAAAAUUAAAUAUCUGUCAUUUUGAUAGAUUUUAAAUAAUUGAAUAAGUUUAGUACUCAUUUAGUACAAAUAUUUAAGGAUAAAAUAUACUGAAAGAUUGAGCAAAAUUGCUCAACAAAUAUAUAGUAAAAAAAUAAA